rnacentral:lncRNA from 1 species
AAAAAAGCUUUGCAUCAGAAACUACCAAGGUACAUUUUGGUAAAAGAUGUUAAAUGGGGAUUGCAAAUAUAAAUACCCUGGAUACCUAUGAGAGGAAGAGCUGAACAAAAGAAAGGAACCAGGCUCACCACCGGCAGCUCUCAGGGGUACACUCUCUCCUAGUUACAAGUACAAGAAGAGUGGCUGAAGAGAGACAAAACAGGGACUUUACACACUGUACACAGCGAUGGCUGGAGAAACACGGGCUACGUAGAGGCUUUACAGUGUGUCACUACAGUCGGGCUGUGAUUGUCUACCAAUACUCUGGAGUGAAGAGCCAGGAAAGAAACCACUCCCACCACCGCCUUAAAGAGCAACUGCACAGGAAGAUAGCGACGUGGGUCGGUUUUCCCAACUGGGGAGGAAAAUUUUGUCAGCUAGAGAAAGCAUACAAAGUGCCUAAGGUUAAAAAAAAAAAUGGUGCAGGUCUUCCACACCAUCUCAGAUCGUCUGUCCAGAAAACCAUGCACAAAAACAGGAUUCAAUGAAACACCAAAGACAAAGCUGUAACAGGCAGUUGUUUGGGCAGACUCAGAUUGACUAUACACAUGUCUAGUGGGACAAAACAGGCUAAAGGCGGGGGGAAAACCAAUAAAGAGGAAGGCAAGGGGCAUUCUGAGAAAUGUGCUCAACAUAAAAUAGACAUUUGUCCAAACUCUUGAUUAAUUAAUUACUAGUUAAUUCUUUCAAAUCACUGAACCUCGGAUUCUCACCUCUCAAUGGAGAAAUAAAAGAACAAGAUUCAGUUAUGAUCAAGCUCUUCUUCAGCCCUUACAUGAACAAAUAAAUAAGCAACACAACAACAGGAACAGAAACAUACUUCUCCUAAACCUGGGUACCCUGCUAAGAAUGCAUUAUCCUGGACAGGACCUCAGUAACCAAGUUCUUCACACUCUUGCUUCCAUAUGUUGCCUGAGGAAAGAAUCGACAAGAAAACAGGUGCUAAAUAAAUCAGGCAAAGCCAGUGUCUGCCAAGGCCUAUGUUUUUGCCUCUUAAGUAAAUAGUAAUAAAAACUACUUCUAGAUAUCUGACAGGCAUACAACUCAAAAUCCACUACACUCAGAUUUUAAAAGAACCAGAUUGAAUUCGGGAACUUUAAAUUCUGGUUGUGUUAGCUUUUUGAUACAUAGACAUACUUGUUUGAACUACGAGCACCAGAAUGCCCUUUCUAAAAUGAUAUCCACUAGGUUAGAUUGUCAGAGACAUUCUUAAAGGACAGUUGAAUGACAACAGUGAACAGUGUUUUUGUAACAAACAGCCCUUUUCUGAAUCAUUCCACAGACAGGAAUCUAGGCACCACCAUGAAGCAAUUUUGCAAAGGUGGUCUUAAUUCCUCAACCGUAAGUUUGGGAUAAUCAAAAAGUAGAUUGCUCUCAUGGACAGAAAGGAAGUCAAGCUUUUAAAAAGUGGGUGUUUCUCUGAAAGCAGAUUCCAAUACCCACGGGGUUUGCAAUUCUAAGCGGGUUUGAAGCAUUCCUCUCUGCUUUGCUCCCUGGCUGCCUAUCUUCCUGAAGGAUUUUGGUGUCAUGUCUUCAAUUCCCACAGCUGUAUAGCUUUGAAUAGAACACUCGACUAGUAAUUAGUAAUUUAUCAAACAGUACACAUCACUUGUGAAGUCAGAUGGGGCAGGAGAGCUGGGGCAAGAAUUCACAUGGUAUUUAAAAGAAGCAUGGAAACUUCUUCAUUCAGCCUUGUGGGAAAAUGUCAUUGAAGAGUUUAUCACAUGAAAACUAGUUAGGCAAUCUGGGAAAAAAAUUAGAAAAACAAAUAUAACAGCAAGGCAAAAUAAUAGCAAAGUAAUUGAUCAUGAGACAAAUAACAAGGUCUUUUGGAUGCUGCAUGAAGAGGCCAUCAUUUUAGGCGCUGGAUUUUGUAUGAAUUUUAAACAGAAAAAGUCCUUGACUCGCUUCAGCUGAGCAACAGCAAGCAGAAAAAUUUCCAAGAACUGCAGAAAAUUAUAAACUAAUAAAUUGACUGCAGGGAAAAUUAGGAGCACGACACUGAGAAAAUAAGGAAUAAUAGAACCCCGGAUUGAUUGAGUACACAGAUCAUGAUGGGGAUCUUCAGAAAUGUGUUUGCAGAGAGAGAGAAUUAAAACAUCAUAGGAAUCUCGCUGCAUACUUCUGCAUGUAAAGGUUAUUACUUCUAUCAUAAAUUAGGUUUAAUUCCUAUUCCAUAACAUGCCAUCAGUCAUCAUAAAGAAAUAUAUGAUUGAUGGAAUGGUCUUAAUCAAAGAUACCCAAAUUAAAUUGCCCUGGGUUGAUAGAUGUACAAUGAAAGUCAUUUUGGAUUCAGAUGGUGAAAACAUGCAAGCAAGGGAAAUAUUAACUUUCUAUGCAGGUUUCUUUAAAAGAAUGGAUGAUGUCUGGGAGUGAGACACAUUAAAUUUGUGUGUCCACAACAUCCAUAACAUGCACAACAUGGCAAGAGAGAUUCUGAAGUAGCACCACAUAAAGUUAAGGUUGGUUUUAUUCUUAUUUAUAUUGUCUUAGGGUAGGGGUGUGUGUGUGUGUGUGUGUGUGUGUGUGUGUGUGUGUGUUGCAAAGUAACAGUGGACUACAGUGAUUUUUUUAAAUAGAGAUGCUUAAAGCUGAAGAACGCACACAAAUUUCAGCAAUAAUUUGUUAGACCACUUAUCUUUGGUAAAUUAAUUAAGUUCACUAGCUUUGAUUAUGACCUCAAAAAUAAAAUAAUUAAGAAAUAAAACAUUACUGCCAAAUUUAAGAAAUUAUUAAGAAUAAACCAUAAGCAUAAUAAUCUUUUACAUUACCUUUACAUUGUCUUUUCUUACAUCAUCUACAAUUAUAAAAAAAAACACUGAGAAAUUGCUUUUUAAAAAAUACACUGACUCUUACGUGGGCCUCUGAGGUAACCAAACAGAACAAAGAAUGAUACCUGUGCUUUCGUUUUCCACUUGUCUCCUUUGCUAUGAGUCACGUACUUAGCUGUCUAUAGGGAUCUUAAUCAUACCAGUAUCUAUCUAGAACUGGCAGGCCAAAAGACAUACCAUUCCUAUUAAAGGCUUAAGGUUGAUUGGUAAGAGAAACACACAUAUCUUACUGCAGUUUUAAAUAAUAUUCUCCAUCAGAUUCCCCAUAAGUUUCAUAAAUCUGAAGUAUUUAGGAUUCCAGGAAUAGGAAAAACACAAACUGCCCCAGUAUGAUGGACUAUCAGAGAGGCCAUAUCCUGGAUCAGGAAAAAAAUCCCAAGAAUCAGCUUAUCUCUUCAACCAAUGAAGACUCUUUAGGAGCACUUGACAACCAAAGUUGAAGCAAUGAACAGUCAGAAAAAUCUUAAACAUAACUACUUAAUUGUGUGUGUGUGUGUGUGUGUGUGUGUGUGUGUGUGUGUGUGUNNNNNNNNNNNNNNNNNNNNAUAUCUUCCCUGCCAUAAGAGACCAUAUCCCUUUGAAAUGUAGCCAAAAGCAAGCCCUUCCUUAUCUUGCUUUUAUCAGGUUUAUUUUUGUAAUGAAGAAAAAAGUGACUCCACAGCAACCAGGUCUUGGGACCUUUGUUAC